GACGAACGCUGGCGGCGUGCUUAACACAUGCAAGUCGAACGAUGAACCGGAGCUUGCUCUGGGGAUUAGUGGCGAACGGGUGAGUAACACGUGGGCAACCUGCCCCAGACACCGGGAUAACUAUCCGAAAGGAUCGCUAAUACCGGAUACGACCACUUCGGGCAUCCGACGGUGGUGGAAAGGAUUCUGGUCUGGGAUGGGCCCGCGGCCUAUCAGCUUGUUGGUGGGGUAAUGGCCUACCAAGGCGACGACGGGUAGCCGGCCUGAGAGGGCGACCGGCCACACUGGGACUGAGACACGGCCCAGACUCCUACGGGAGGCAGCAGUGGGGAAUAUUGCGCAAUGGGCGAAAGCCUGACGCAGCGACGCCGCGUGAGGGACGAAGGUCUUCGGAUUGUAAACCUCUUUCAGCAGGGAUGAAGCGAAAGUGACAGUACCUGCAGAAGAAGCACCGGCUAACUACGUGCCAGCAGCCGCAGUAAGAC
rnacentral:rRNA from 1 species